GGUCCCGGCUCCGUCAGUGACUGCCCGGGGCUCGCGCGUGAGGGGAGCCGGGCAGACGCCCGCCCCCUUCAAAGCCUGAGGAGGCUGCGGGGACCGGGUGAGGGGCUGGAAAGGGCGUGAGGGGUGGGGGGCGCUCAGGCCCUGCCGCCUUCCCGGGAGCGGCGAGGGCACGGGGGCCAAGCCGACUCUCACGUCUGGGCUUCCUCGGGGUGCACAAAACCCGAGGGAGCGGACUGAGACGUGGUCCCCGGGAGGCGGCUGUCCCCCCUCGGGUGGCCGCGCGGGAGGGCAGAGGCCGGAGGGGAAGGGGCCGAGCCAAGUGGCCGAGUCUGACACGUCGAAGGAGAAGGAGCUCUCUUCUCUCCGACCCUUGGCCCUCCGCACCUGAGGAGCCGCACUCUGUUGCCAUUCCAGGCUUGUGUGGGAGAAGACUGCUGUGCGCCUGUGUCUGUCCGCCCGGGCGACUCCAGCCCUCGGUUAAUGAAAGGCAAGAAUACUGGAGUAUGUUGCCAUUUCUUCUUCAAGGGAUCUUCCUGACCCAGGGAUCAAGCCUGCAUUUCCUGCAUUGUCAGGGGGUUUCUUUACCACUGAGCCACCAGGGAAGACCAUACAAGAAAAUAGACUGCAACAUUAAAUAAAGUUUUGAGUGAAAGAAAUAUGAAUCCUUUUUUUCUAUUUUUCUGUAUUGUGCAUAUUUUAUUUGGUGAGAAUUGUUUGAGUAGUUUACAGAUGUAUUGGCGCUUCAUGAUUUCAUUACUUCGUUGGAAUAAAAAAGGCUUGAGAUGUAGAAAAUGGCAAAAAGAAAAUGUGACUGUAUCAAUAAGCACAUUAAAUGUGAUUGGACUGAACACCCUACUGAAAAGGCAGAUUUUAUCAGGCUGAAUAAAAUACCAAGAUCUGACUCUCUGUCACAGGUCAGCAAGAGACACACUGAAAUUCAAGGAUAUAAGUAGAUAGAAAGUAAAGGAUGGAAAAGAUACAAUGUGUAAAAAACAGACACAGGAGAAUGUAAAUGGGUACAACCACUACAAAAAACAAUAAGGAGGUUCCUUAGGAAACUGAAGAUAGAAUUACGGUAUGAUCAGCAAUCCCACUCCUGGAUGUAUAUCCAGACA